UUUUAAUUUAAUUUUAAUUUUUAAAAUUUUAAUUUUAAUUCUUUUGAGAUUAUAACAUAAUUAUAUCAUUUCCCCCCUCCCCUUUCUCCCCUCCAACCCUUCCUAUGAACAACACCUCCCUCCCCAGCUCUCAUUAAAAUUCAUGGCCUUUUUAAUCUUUAAUUGUUGUUGUUGUUGGUAAUGUGUGUGUGUGUGUGUGUGUGUGUGUGUGUAUGUGUGUGUGUGUUCCUAAAUGUAUAAAUACAACUUUCUUAGUUUGUAGAAUGUUACUUGUAUGUACAUGUUUUCAGGACUGACCAUUUGGUAUUCGAUAACCAGUUGGUGUACUCUUUCCUGGGAAAACCUGUUUCUCCUGCUCUCAGAAUUCCUUAAUUGUUGUAGUUCUUUGUCUAGGGUGGGUGUCAUGAGCUUUCCCCCUUCCAUGAUAGCAUGUCCAUUGGUGUUGUCCUUGUUCAGAUCAUUUUUAUACAAUCAUAUUGAUGAGUGUUUAUAGGUAUAGCUUCUGUAACAUUUCUAGGAGACAUAGUCUCACAGCAAACUUCCUGUUUCUCUGGCUUUUACAAUCUUUCCAUCUCAAGCUUUCAAAGGAGGGAAGCAACCCAUAGUCCUACCCAGCUGUGGAACCCAUAAACCACAAUAAUGACCAGUGUGUCACUUUAACUCAAAGGGUAUAACAGUGGCACACAUAACUUGCUGGUAACCAACAGCUCUCUAGUUGGCCCCACAACCAGCUUAACAAAAGGAAAAUUAUACUGGGAACUGGAAAUAGCCAACUACCCAAGACUAGUGAAGUUAUAGGUCUUGGAGUAGAACCUACAACCACUGAUUUACUAAACCAGAAUAUCUCUAGAUACAUUAUAAAUAUUUAUCUUUAUACCCACAAAUAAGUGUGGGUCUCAUCCUUUAUUAAAGAAACUUCUGUUUAUCACAGAUGGAAACCAUCAUAGAAAACCAUAGCUGAUAAAAUAAUAAUAAUAAUAAUAAUAAUAAUAAUAAUAAUAAAUGAUAAUAAUGAGAGCUAGCCUAGGUUAAAAGAGAAAGAAAAUGUAACAAAAUUGCCCAUAUAAAUUUUGAUAGGCUCUGGUAUGAAACUAGUCCUGAUUAUUGGAGAAAUUUGAAAACUGGUUGCAUCUUAAAAUGGUAUAAAAGAUUUUUUGUUAAUUUUUGUUCAAAGAUAUGGUAAUAAUGUGAUCAUGUAGCGAUUUAAAUGGAUGGAUGUGUGGUUUUGUAAUGAUGUUGACAACUUCUUUUCAGGUGUUAAAUAAAGACAAGCCUGAGUAAUAUGAAGCAAAUCUGGCAAUGUUUGAACUUUUGAGAAGAAGGAGGAUGAAACAAACGAACAAACAAACACCACAAAAGAACGAGCCGUGUGACACCAGGAGGAGACAGCGGAAGAGCGACUCUGAUUUCGACAGGAAAAGGCAAUUUAAAUUGAGAGACAUUGUGGCCUACCUAUUGGGCACUCCUUUUAUGAAUAAAGAAAAAGAGAGAGGGUUCUUGACUUAA